rnacentral:rRNA from 1 species
CCUACGGGAGGCAGCAGUGAGGAAUAUUGGUCAAUGGUCGGGAGACUGAACCAGCCAAGCCGCGUGAGGGAUGAAGGUACAGAGUAUCGUAAACCUCUUUUGUCAGGGAACAAAGGCGGGGACGUGUCCCCGGAUGAGUGUACCUGAAGAAAAAGCAUCGGCUAACUCCGUGCCAGCAGCCGCGGUAAUACGGAGGAUGCGAGCGUUAUCCGGAUUUAUUGGGUUUAAAGGGUGCGCAGGCGGUCUGUUAAGUCAGCGGUAAAAGCCCGGGGCCAAACCCCGGCCCGCCGUUGAAACUGGCAGUCUCGAGUUGGAGAGAAGUAUGCGGAAUGCGCGGUGUAGCGGUGAAAUGCAUAGAUAUCGCGCAGAACUCCGAUUGCGAAGGCAGCAUGCCGGCUCCACACUGACGCUGAGGCACGAAAGCGUGGGUAUCGAACAGGAUUAGAUACCCUAGUAGUC